CCAGACUCCAGAUCACUGGACAAGAUCAGCUCUCUGCAGCAACCUCUGCCACUGUGGAGCUUUCAGAACGCGUGAGCAAGGGGUGCGAUACGGGAUCCCGGCUUUCAGGUUGCUGGUGGUCAGAAUACUGACAACGCCAUCCCGACAGUAAGAAUCCUGACAGUUCUUCAUAAUGAAGGAGACAAGGCCAAUCGUAUCUUCACUCACCUGUCCCACAAAUUUUACUUGGAAGCAUGUGGGAUGCGGGAGGAUGGCCCGCACUCCUGGGAGCCAACGACUUCCCAAAAAUCAGUAGAUUCCUGUACAUUCCGGGACGGUCGGCAAAUCAAUAUUGGAGUAAAGAUACGUAUUCACACUUUGGGAUGCCUAUCUCCCGGUAUUAGGGAUGGACUGGCCCGGAAUAUAAAGUACGGCUAAGAUAGGGUGAGGAGAUAUGGCAUCAGAAAAUCCCAUCAAUGGUAAAGUGAUUUUCUCCAUGGAUAUAAUUAAUGUCAAGUUUUGAAGUAAAAACUGUAUUAUUUGAAAUAAGAUCAUCAUCGUAAGGAUUUUUAUGGUGGAACGCAUGCUGUACUUCCUGGUGGGCGGAAUGAAUAACAACAGAUAUGUUACAAAAUGGCCGCUAGAUGGAACGCACCGGUGGAACGCACGCAUCAUUUCCGGAUUCCGAAAGCGGAAGUUAAUACCCGCUUUUUAUCUUUGAGUGCACGUUUCAUGCUAACUCUGGCAUAACUGUAUAUUUCAAUAGACUGAAUACCCGGGACAGCCUAUAUUAUGCUGGUUAUGAUGUUUUAUAAUGUACAGCUAUAGAGGUCAUUUUUGAUGAAACGCAACCGGAAGUUGAAAAUGAAACGCACGUGUCACUUCCGGUUGGGGAACCCGGAAGUCAGAGUAGCUUAAUUGGCUUAUUGCACUAAUUAGUAAGGGUAUAAAUAUUUGGCUGUUGAAGAUCCAUGUCAUCCAAGCUUAAAAAAGGAGAGUUUCUCCGAAACGCGUCGUUUGGAAGACAUGGAUACCCUUAUGUGAUGCACUGCUGGAUUCCCUACUCAGCCUCCUAAAAGAAAAAAGUUUUUUGCGGUGGUGCUCUACCAACUCCACCGGGAUUUGAUUGCUUUUUGUUGAAAAAGCCAUCUGCCCACCGCAAAUCACUAAGAGAGUGAGAAAUUUUUGGGAU